CAUUAAAAAUUUCAUCUAUUUAUAUUGUUAAAAGUUAACGUGUUAUUUAACGUGUUAUUGGAAUAAUCAAAUAGUGACAUGUGACGUGCCACGUGUACCUCAUGCUAACGUACAAGGAUCAAUUUUUAACAGUAGAAAUGAAUGAACUUUUUAACA
rfam:Gossypium hirsutum cultivar TM-1 chromosome 4, whole genome shotgun sequence